rnacentral:rRNA from 1 species
UGGGGAAUUUUGCACAAUGGGGGAAACCCUGAUGCAGCGACGCCGCGUGAUUUAGAAGGCCUUCGGGUUGUAAAAAUCUUUUUUACGGGAUGAAAAUGACAGUACCGUAAGAAUAAGGUCCGGCUAAAUACGUGCCAGCAGCCGCGGUAAUACGUAUGGACCGAGCGUUGUCCGGAAUCAUUGGGCGUAAAGGGUACGUAGGCGGCCUCGUAAGUUAGAAGUGAAAUAAUAUAGCUCAACUAUAUAAAGCUUUUAAAACUGCUAGGCUUGAGAGAUGGAAGGGAAAGUGGAAUUCCUAGUGUAGCGGUGAAAUGCGCAGAUAUUAGGAAGAAUACCGGUGGCGAAGGCGACUUUCUGGUCAUCAUCUGACGCUGAGGUACGAAAGCGUGGGUAGCAAACAGG